rnacentral:hammerhead_ribozyme from 19 species
AACGCGUCUUAGGCCGCUCAUAUCUAACUGAUGAGUUCCGAUAAGAACGAAACGCGUC